rnacentral:rRNA from 1 species
ACGCUCGACACCUACGGGGGGCAGCAGUAGGGAAUCUUCCACAAUGGGCGCAAGCCUGAUGGAGCAACACCGCGUGAGUGAAGAAGGGUUUCGGCUCGUAAAGCUCUGUUGUUGGAGAAGAACGUGCGUGAGAGUAACUGUUCACGCAGUGACGGUAUCCAACCAGAAAGUCACGGCUAACUACGUGCCAGUAGCCGCGGUAAUCUGAGCGGGCUGGCAAGGC